UACGGAGGGUGCGAGCGUUGUCCGGAAUCACUGGGCGUAAAGGGCGCGUAGGUGGCGCGACAAGUCAACGGUGAAAGCUCGGCGCUCAACGCCGAGUCGGCCGUCGAUACUGUUGGGCUGGAGCACUGUAGAGGCUCAUGGAAUUCCGGGUGUAGCGGUGGAAUGCGUAGAGAUCCGGAAGAACACCGGUGGCGAAGGCGGUGAGCUGGGCAGUUGCUGACACUGAGGCGUGACAGCGUGGGGAGCAAACAGG
rnacentral:rRNA from 1 species